AGUGAAUUAUCGUUGUCAUUCACUUAGUUAUUUCUUGACUCUUCCUACACUUAUUAAUUGAUUUUAUUUCUUCUUAUUAAAGACCGCUGUGUCAACGCUGAGUUAUUUCGUUAUAAUGUCAUUAAUUUUCUUGAUUUUUGCGGUUUUAUUUUCCAUUGGUCAACUGUAAGUCUGUUGUCGAGCAUCAAUUAUUGAUUGUUAUCGUGCUUCAUUUAGUUUAAUUGAAAUAUAAUUGUAAAUUUUUAAUAGUAUUAUUUUCUUCCAUAUAUAUUAAGGCAAUUGAGGUUAGUUUAUUCAUUCGGUUCUGCUGACAAUCGCAUACUAUGUUCUAUGGAGUGGGUCCACAACUUGUUUCUGCGGAAUUCCUGCAUGUACACUUCCUUCUACGAUGAUUAAUUGUGCACUAGGUGCUUUUAACUUUCACUGCUUUUAAUUACUUUAUUGAAUUAACAUGUUGUGUAUUUAAAUGAUGGUUAGAACACACAGAUAAUAAUUUUCCUUUUCCUUUUAGGUUUGUACUAUCUGCAUGAUUCGAUAAGCACUGUCACACUUCCUUUGGUUUAGGCACAAUAUUGUUAUAAACAUUUAGUGGUAUUAUGUUUUGUAUUGAAACAAUUGAAGUUAAUUCCUACAUUUGUUUCAGCUGGCUGUCAUACAUUAUGUUCUACGGAUAUGGACACAUAACCUGUCUUCGCACAUACACUUCCUUUUACGAUGAGCAGUUGUUCACGAGGUUACUACUAUCUGCAGUUUUCGACAAGCAGUGUUGUUCCAUAUACCACCGUACUACGCUGCCUCAUGAAAUCGUUCUGGUGGUCUGUUUCGAUUAUGUGUUAGUUUUAACUUGUUCAAGUGUAUUGUUCGUGGAAUCCCUUUUACUUCAAUCUUGACGUUUCGCGUGUGGUUUUGACAAUAGUGCCUGGUUUAUUGAAGUGUGUUAAUAUGCCUAGGUGUUAUAUAUAUUUUAUAUCUAGUUGUAUAUAAGAUAUAUUUUGCUCAUUGUCGUUUUGUAUGUCCAUAUUUGCUGUAUAUUAAAUUGCUUGAUAUUU